GCACGUGUAUGUGUGUGUAUGUGCAUGCAUAAAUAUUAUAUAUAUUUAUCUUUGUAACUCCUAUGAAUGCAUAUAUUCUUGGUUGUAGUUGCCAUUCCAAACGUCUAUGAAUGCAGUAUUUUGAUUAACACACAAACGUCCCUUCUUUGAGUUGCUUGACCUUAGAGCGUGUAUUUACGCCUUUGGUGAUGUCUCAAAGAAUGUUGUUGAAUGAAUGGUCUUUAAUAAUCUUCCAAGCAAAGGAAGGUUAUCCACU
rnacentral:lncRNA from 1 species